UUGGAAAAUUAAUUAACUUAAACCAUAAAGUGUUAGUCAAUAACAAAUAAAGAGCAAAGUAAGGAAAUAUCAAAUUUGGGCCUUUGGCCAAAUUCAUGAACCUGUCCUAAAUCUAAAAGUGGCCCAAUACAAUGGUUUGGGCCAAUUUAAUUCAUGAUCCUGCUGUGUCGGAAUUUCUUUUGGACCCAUUUUCACUUGAGAUUUUAGGGCCUCGUUUCUGCAUUUUCAGGUCAUGCAUGUCACCAUUUUGGACCUGUAUAUUGUAUUGUAUACCCAUAUAUACAACAAGCAUAUUCAGCCUUUCUUUUGGAUCUUUUUGGAAUCUGAAAUUCGAUUCCCAACCCCUUUACGUCCAUUUCCUGUUGGCUGGCUCGAUAGAAGAUAGAAUUGGGCCUCUAGGGCCUAACCAAUGAAAUGCAAGAUCAAAGAGUCUCCAAGGACACGGGAGGAACCGGUUCAUACAUAGAAAAGAAUUAAACAAGAUACAAAUUAAUAAUAGAGCACACUUUAAAUCUAUAUAAUGCAACCAAGACACAUAAAAUAGAAAUAAGGCAAAAAAUGCAUGUGCUUAGUUUACUAUAUCACAGUUAUAUAAGAAUGACAAAGGAAUGCACACAAUUCUUAAAGAAUCUUCACUAAUUUAAUCUAAC
rnacentral:lncRNA from 1 species